rnacentral:rRNA from 1 species
UGGAGCCUGCGGUUUAAUUGGACUCAACGCCGGGCAGCUCACCGGAUAAGACAGCUGGAUGAUAGCCGGGCUGAAGACUCUGCUUGACUAGCUGAGAGGAGGUGCAUGACCGUCGUCAGUUCGUACUGUGAAGCAUCCUGUUAAGUCAGGCAACGAGCGAGACCCACGCCAACAGUUGCCAGCAUGUCCUCCGGGAUGAUGGGGACACUGUUGGGACCGCCUCUGCUAAAGAGGAGGAAGGAAUGGGCAACGGUAGGUCAGCAUGCCCCGAAUUAUCCGGGCUACACGCGGGCUACAAUGGUCAGGACAAUGGGUAUCGACACCGAGAGGUGGAGGCAAUCUCCUAAACCUGUCCUUAGUUCGGAUUGUGGGCUGCAACUCGCCCACAUGAAGCUGGAAUCCGUAGUAAUCGCGUUUCAAAAUAGCGCGGUGAAUAUGUCCCUGCUCCUU